GAAUAGGGGGAAUCGGGGCAAACGUGAGUGGGGAGGAACACUUGAACCCUUGCACCUCUCCACCUUGUCUUGCCUUGGCUGGUUCCGUUGUUCGUCUCUCCAGUCCACCCACGCGUAGCUGAUUGUCUAAGGGAGAUUCCUGUAAUUUUAGGCUUGAACGAGAAAGGCAGCAUAAUGGAUCUUCCGUUGAAUGGGGAGCAUAAUAAUAAUAGUAUAGUAAACUCGAAAAGUACACAUUGGCCUGAUUCUCCACGAAAAGAAUUUGUUAUUAGCUUUGGUCCAUCCAUAAGCGCAGUUCGACCCAAGUUCCCUCCGACGCCAAGAAUAUUAGAAUUCCCCGAAUUGCAGCCUCGCAAUAGUAUUUGUUUCUUACUUUCUCUGCAUAGUUCGUGAGCGAAUAAUUUCAGAGAUGUGGAGGCGCACGACUUGGUUACCACCUCUAUUUUCUUCCUCCAAACGCUCACUCGUCAGCCAGAUACAGGGAGCUUACGGACUAAGGAUUUGGAGAACGAUGAGUUCUGAGAUUCAGAAACCGGAAGAAGAUGGAACCUUCCCAAGAGGAAUAACCCCGUUUAUAACUUUUGUCUUGGGAGGCCCAGGUAGUGGAAAAGGAACUCAAUGUGCAAGAAUUGUUGAAAACUUUGGGUUCACCCACCUGAGUGCAGGAGAUCUGUUGAGGCAAGAAAUUUCUUCUAAUAGUGAAAAUGGUGCUAUGAUUUUGAACACCAUCAAGGAUGGAAAGAUUGUUCCUUCUGAAGUAACUGUCAAGCUAAUACAAAAGGCAAUUGAAUCAAGUGAGAGUCAUAAAUUUCUCAUUGAUGGUUUCCCACGAACUGAAGAGAACCGUUUGACAUACGAAAGAAUUAUUGGUGCCGAACCCAAUAUUGUGCUUUUCUUUGAUUGCCCCCCGGAAGAGAUGGUUAAACGAGUGCUGAACCGUAGGGGCGAGUCGAUGAUAAUGCAAACACGGUCAAGGAACGGUUAAAGAUUUUUAGAGCUUUAAGUCUUCCAGUGGUCAACUAUUAUGCCAAGAAAGGAAAACUUUACAAGAUUGAUGGUACUGGAACAGAAGAUGAGAUAUUUGAACGAGUCCGCCCAAUUUUUGCUGCCUAACGGUCAUUACGGUAAUAAACCUUUUCUGACGAAACACCAGAGGAACAAAAGUCGAUCGAGCUGGACAGAUAAGCCUGGCAGGAAGAUGUCACUCAGUUGAUACUUGCUACUCUGUGAAGGGGCCUGCAGACUGGUAAAAAAUUGUUUUCCCCAAGCUGGGAAUCCGGAUAAGAUACUUACUGACCUCCUAAUGCCAGUUAAAAAGAAAAUUCCUUAUUAUUCUUUUGCCCAUCUUCGAUCUCGCUUGAUCACGAGGCGUCCCAGUGAAUGUAGAGAGAGAGAGAGAGAGAGACUGUAACGCUAUAUCAGAUCAAUCACCUUCUCUGAAGACUGUAUCUGAGUGCUGGGAUUUCGGUUGUGCUAUGCAAAAUCUGGCAGAUUGUCUCAAGGGUAGUAUAUUGUAGUUUUCUCAUUUCUGAAGGAGGAUGCUUUGUGAUUGGUGAAUAUCUUCAUGAAUAAAUGGUCAAAAAGAUUAUUAAAUUAUUC